rnacentral:rRNA from 1 species
UACGUAGGGGGCAAGCGUUGUCCGGAAUCAUUGGGCGUAAAGAGCGUGUAGGCGGCCCGAUAAGUCCGCUGUGAAAGUCCAGGGCUCAACCCUGGAAUGCCGGUGGAUACUGUCGGGCUCGAAUCCGGAAGAGGUGAGUGGAAUUCCUGGUGUAGCGGUGAAAUGCGCAGAUAUCAGGAGGAACACCAAUGGCGAAGGCAGCACUCUGGGACGGUACUGACGCUGAGACGCGAAAGCGUGGGGAGCAAACAGG